GCGGCGUGCCUAAUACAUGCAAGUCGAGCGAACAUAUGAGAAGCUUGCUUCUCUGAUGUUAGCGGCGGACGGGUGAGUAACACGUGGGUAACCUACCUAUAAGACUGGGAUAACUCCGGGAAACCGGGGCUAAUACCGGAUAAUAUAUUGAACCGCAUGGUUCAAUGUUGAAAGACGGUUUCGGCUGUCACUUAUAGAUGGACCCGCGCCGUAUUAGCUAGUUGGUAAGGUAACGGCUUACCAAGGCAACGAUACGUAGCCGACCUGAGAGGGUGAUCGGCCACACUGGAACUGAGACACGGUCCAAACUCCUACGGGAGGCUGCAGUGGGGAAUCUUCCGCAAUGGACGAAAGUCUGACGGAGCAACGCCGCGUGAGUGAUGACGGCCUUCGGGUUGUAAACCUCUUUUGUUAGGGAGCAAGGCCUUCUUGCGAAUAGUGAGAAGGAUUGACGGUACCGGAAUAGAAAGCCACGGCUAACUACGUGCCAGCAGCCGCGGUAAUACGUAGGGUGCAAGCGUUAUCCGGAAUUAUUGGGCGUAAAGGGCUCGUAGGCGGUUUUUUAAGUCUGAUGUGAAAGCCCCCGGCUCAACCGGGGAGGGUCAUUGGAAACUGGGAGACUUGAGUGCAGAAGAGGAGAGUGGAAUUCCAUGUGUAGCGGUGAAAUGCGUAGAUAUAUGGAGGAACACCAGUGGCGAAGGCGGCUCUCUGGUCUGUAACUGACGCUGAGGCUCGAAAGCGUGGGGAGCGAACAGGAUUAGAUACCCUGGUAGUCCACGCCGUAAACGAUGAGUGCUAAGUGUUGGAGGGUUUCCGCCCUUCAGUGCUGCAGCAAACGCAUUAAGCACUCCGCCUGGGGAGUACGACCGCAAGGUUGAAACUCAAAGGAAUUGACGGGGGCCCGCACAAGCGGUGGAGUAUGUGGUUUAAUUCGAAGCAACGCGAAGAACCUUACCAGGUCUUGACAUCUUUUGAUCACCUGAGAGAUCAGGUUUCCCCUUCGGGGGCAAAAUGACAGGUGGUGCAUGGUUGUCGUCAGCUCGUGUUGGGAGAUGUUGGGUUAAGUCCCGCAACGAGCGCAACCCUUAUUGUUAGUUGCCAUCACUUAGUUGGGCACUCUAGCGAGACUGCCGGUGACAAACCGGAGGAAGGUGGGGAUGACGUCAAAUCAUCAUGCCCCUUAUGACCUGGGCUACACACGUGCUACAAUGGGAAGUACAACGAGUUGCGAAGUCGCGAGGCUAAGCUAAUCUCUUAAAGCUUCUCUCAGUUCGGAUUGUAGGCUGCAACUCGCCUACAUGAAGCCGGAAUCGCUAGUAAUCGCGGAUCAGCACGCCGCGGUGAAUACGUUCCCGGGCCUUGUACACACCGCCCGUCACACCACGAGAGUUUGUAACACCCGAAGUCGGUGAGGUAACCUUUUUGGAGCCAGCCGCCUAAGGUGGGAUAGAUGAUUGGGGUGA
rnacentral:rRNA from 1 species